GUCAGCAUGCUAACUGCUCUUCAACACAAUUACGUACUAUAAUAUGUGUGGAUGGAAAAGGUCGGCAGCAUUUAAAAAUUGUUGAAUUCUGUCAGUGUAUUAAGGAUGCUGAAAAACUAAUUAAACUCCA